rnacentral:lncRNA from 1 species
GCCCAGCUCUCAAAGCCCAAAUCCAAGCCCAGGCUUCCCUCCAAAGCACAGAGAGCGACGAAGGCGGUGAGGUCGGGGUCCGGAUUCACCAAACCCGACGGCUCCCCGAUUUCCUCCAGAGUGUUAAUCUCAAUACAAUCAGAAUCAUCAUCACACUCAUCCGUUGGCCAUAUAUUCCCUUUCCGCUCACCACGGAAGAAGAAAGUCAAUUCCAGUUUCUCCCGAUCGACCUUCCAGUUCAACUUGGG